rnacentral:rRNA from 1 species
AUUAGAUACCCUGGUAGUCCGCACGGUAAACGAUGGAUGCCCGCCGUUGGGUAUUUUUAUUCAGCGGCCAAGCGAAAGCGUUAAGCAUCCCACCUGGGGAGUACGCCGGCAACGGUGAAACUCAAAGGAAUUGACGGGGGCCCGCACAAGCGGAGGAACAUGUGGUUUAAUUCGAAGCAACGCGAAGAACCUUACCUGGUCUUGACAUCCCAAUGACGAGUGAGCAAAGUCACUUUCCCUUCGGGGCAAUGGAGACAGGUGGUGCAUGGUUGUCGUCAGCUCGUGUCGUGAGAUGUUGGGUUAAGUCCCGCAACGAGCGCAACCCCUAUUUCCAGUAGCCAGCAGGUAGAGCUGGGAACUCUGGAGAGACUGCCCGGGAGAACCGGGAGGAAGGCGGGGAUGACGUCAAAUCAUCAUGCCCCUUAUGAUCAGGGCUACACACGUGCUACAAUGGCGUAAACAAAGGGAAGCGAGACGGUGACGUUAAGCAAAUCCCAAAAAUAACGUCUCAGUUCGGAUUGUAGUCUGCAACUCGACUACAUGAAGCUGGAAUCGCUAGUAAUCGCGAAUCAGAAUGUCGCGGUGAAUACGUUCCCGGGUCUUGUACACACCGCCCGUCACACCAUGGGAGUCAGAAAUGCCCGAAGUCAGUGACCCAACCGAGAGGAGAGAGCUGCCGAAGGUGGAGCUGGUAACUGGGGUGAAGUCGUAACAAGGUACC